GCCCCUCCCUGUAAGUUAAGUCCCUGCAGCCACAGCUGUGGGAGAAGCGUACUUGUAGAAACAAGGCCAGUUCAGCAUCAGAAGGCAGAGGCAGCAUCACCGACUCUCAGCCAUGGAAUGGAUGGAGAGCACAGGGCUCAGGGACAGAACAGGCCAGGUGGAAAGAGGAGAGGCAUGGCGGGGGGCUGAGGCCCCUAAAUUUUGGCCCUAGGGAAAGAGACGAGGGCAGUUGGUCCAGUUUUGAUGGGUAUGGGGAAGGGACUGUAUUAGUAAGCACAGGGGGAGAGGAUGCCAAUAGGCACCCCAGAGGUGACAGGACAGUCUGAACCCCCACCCUGGCAGAAGGGAGCUUGACAGCUCUGGGGCUCUCUGGGAAUGUCACUGCUAAAAUGGAUAUUUAUAUAUAUAUUAACCAUUCAUGGGAGGGCAGGGGCAGGGCCUGGGGUGGGAUCGGAGGAUCUGGCAUCGCAUCCUGUAGCUGGUCAUGCCUACCUGAGAGGCCUGGAGGAAACCAAAGUGGUUUAAAACAUUUAAGUGUGCUUCUUCAGAAAAAGUUUUGUCUCCCCACGCCACUUUUUAUUUAAACUAAAAAUAAUUUCUUGUUAGUGACUGCUUUGCAUUUAGACAGAGUGAUUGAUAACAAUUUAUAGGGGAUUUUGUUGGGGUGAAAAGCACACUGACAUGCCACCGCUGUUUAUUGGAGUGCGAUUUCACGUGCAAAUGCAAAAACAUUAAAAAUGUUAUUGCUCCUUAUGUGCAUAUGCGGCAGCGCUCCUCGAGGGGGCACCAGCUGCGGGAAGUCUGUUCCUUGCAGACCCCUGACCACGCGAUGAAUGAAUAAAGUACACUGACACACAGAUAUUCUGCUCUGCCAGUCCAGCUGAGGGUCCAAGCCCCUUACAGGCUCCCUGCUGAGCCCUGUAAACAGUUGCGACUCGGCAGGGAGCCUGUAAGCACCUGGGACCCUCAGAAUAUCUGUGUGUCAGCGUACUUUAUUCACCGGUCAUUGGGUCAGGGGUCUGCAAGGGACAGACUCCCCACAGCUGGUGACCCCUCGAGAGGAGCCCUGCCCCCAGCUGGUGCCCCAUGUGAGGCGCUGUGUGAGGAACUGUGUGAGGAAUGCUGUGAAGGAAACGCGACGAACCGCCCGAAAACGAAGACAGACAGAACAGCAUGUGGAGACUCACACAGUGAAAUUUUCCUCCAAGAAGUACUGCAUGAACAUACCAGGAAAACCAAAAGAAUUCACAGGACCUUUGAAAGAAGUGGCUUGCCGCUGCAAACUCCAUGAGACAGCUGAAAAACUGGCAAAGCGGCUGAGAUCUUUGAACUCCCUUUGAACUUUGAGAAUGGUGACUGGAAGAUGACAAUUCAUGUUGUUUUCAGGAAAGCUAUGACCGAGAAACCAAGGAACUCACUAUCUUGUCCUCUUGGAUGCCAGCUAUAAAUUGAAUCAAGUUGGACACCGGAAUUUUGACCACUUUCCACCUUUCUAUCGUGGUCAGGUAAGUUGCAUAAGCCUGUGAUAUGCAUGAUUUUGGACUUUGUUCCUUUUCACACUGGCCUACAGUUGAGGUACCAGAUUCUCAUACAUCAAUAAUUAAAGUAGUAAUCACUUAUAUGAGAUGUUGAAAUGUACUCCCUUCAAGAAAGGUGACAUUUUCAGCUGUUUUCUUAAUGGGAAAACAUUAUUAGUGGGAGCAAACUACAGAUCCUUCAAUGAGAUUAGUGUGAAAGCAGAAGAAAUGUGAAGGCAGUGGCUAUUUGAGUGACAUGAAAAUAUUCUAAGGGGCACAAAAGCAGAAAGGGAAAGCCGGUAACUUCACAGAAAUCUCAUUGCCUCCAUAGUUUUUCCCAACAUCAGGAAGUGCCUUUCUACAAACCUGUGGCAUGAACUUAACAGAAAGAAUUGAAAUUUCUACUUGUUGGAUAACUACACAGUUACACAACAAACAAGAGGCUAUACAUUUCCAUGUGGAGACUAAUAUUACAACUUAAUCCUUUUGGCAAUCAGAGAUGGGCAAUUAUGUUUCCAACUUAGAAAGCUUUCUAUUUUCAGGGCUUUCUUCAUACUUAAAUCUGGUAACCAAGCCUAUGAAAAGAAGUUUUAAAUACAGCAGGUAUAAAUGUCUGUAGGAAAAGGCUUGAGCAGUGUAGGUACCAUCUCAGAAUUAUAAGAGGGUGGACAGAACUUCUUUUGUUAAAUACUAUUAUCUUAACCCAAGAGAACUGUCAAUAGAGAGCUGAGUUUCUGGAUUAUGGGUGCUUCCCUCCUAUGUCUUAAGAUUAGCCAGCAGCAUGCAAGGAAUUGGAAGCAUGUCCUCACAUGACACAGCAAGAAGGGUGACAAGAUCCUAUUUGCGUUUGAAAAAGUUUACUCUUGCUGCUGCAUACAAAAUGGAAUGUUAAGAUGCAAGAAUGGAAUCAAGAAGGAGGCUCUUAGAAUAAUGGGUAAGAGUUAAUGGUGGCUUUGACCUGAGUGGAGGCUGUGGAGGUAGACAGAAGUGAGAACAUUUGCUGAUGCUGUAGGUAGGGGAAUGGUGAGGUGUUAUGGAUGGACUUGUGUCACUCUCAAAUUUAUAUAUUGAAGUUCUAACCCCUAGUACUUCAGAAUGUUACUAUAUUUGAAGACAGCAUUCUUAAAAAGGCUAUUAAGUUAAAAUGAGGUCAUAGGGUUGUCCCUAAUCCAAUAUAAUAGGUUUCUUCAUGAGAAGAGGAGAUUCGGUCACAGGCAUGUACAGAAGAAGACUGUGUGAAGACACAGAAGAAGUUAUCUACAAACCAACGAGAGAGGCUUCAGAAGAAACCAACAUUGUUGACACCCUGAUCUUGGAUUUCUAGACUCAGGAAUUAUGAGAAAAUAAAUUUUUAUUGUUUAAGCCACCCAGUCUGUGGUACUUUCUUAUGGCAUCCCUGGCUAAUGAAUACAGGAGGCAGCUAAAGGAAUUGAGGAUUAUGCCUAGUUUUGUGGCUUGAGAAAUGGGGUAUUUAGAGGUCUCAUUACCAGGACGAGUAAGAUUGAGGAAAGAACAUGUUUGGAAUCUAUAUGGGAAUGUUGGUGGUGGGAAAAACUGAGAGGUAAAUGUAGUAGUUUAUGUGUGGGAUGCCUAUGCACAUGCAAGAAAAGAUAUCAAGGAGGCAAUGGUAUGUGCAAAUCUGGAAAUUUUAUAAAUUCUUAUGCAGAUGACUUAAAUAAAUAAAUUUGAACCCUGUCAUCUAUUCUCAAUCCCUUCUGGAUUUCAACCAAAAGGGCUGUUAUAUGGGGCUAGCAUCAUAUAUCAAUGUCAGUAAGUUAGAUUGUCCAUUACUUUGUAUUGAAUGGAACUAUGUGCUGCAUGAUUUCUGUGUCUCUAAAAGUCAACAGACCUUGGGCAGACACAGAAGUUUAAAUGUCACCCUGAAAAACCACUCUAAAUUAGGAGGCAGUUGCGACAUUCUAAACAAAUUUAGUAGAUUACAUAUCAUGAGAUAUGGCUUUGGGUUCAAACUCUACCCUUUUUAGAUUAGUGUUCUUGGAUCAUAAUCUCUGAGACUUAGAUUUUUCGUUCAUUUUAUAGUGAAUCUCAUUAGGGCUACUUCACUUGACUUAGGGUAUUUUUGGAAUUUUCAGGGUGAGUUUUUUUGUUGCAUGAUUGAGGAGUUCUAGUUAUUAGAAGCUCUGUGAAGUCCUGCAAAAUGAUUUGACACAAAGCCUUCUUGGAUGUGUACUUACAGUUGCACAACUUGAAAAUAUUCUGUACAUUACAAGUGGGGUUAUAGUCACACACACACGCACACAUUUAACACAUUUGUGUAUUAAUUUUACUUCAGGACUGUAAAGUGUUACAAAAUUCUAGCUAUUAAAAGAGGGCAUUGCACCAAGUUAUGUUGUGUUGAGAACCACUGACCUAUAAUAUCUUUUUAUUGCCUUUAUUAUUUUGAAUGGACACAUAAUUAUACAAUUUAUGGGGCACAGUGUGAUAUUUUGAUGCAUGUAUAUCAUGAAUAGUGAUCAAAUCAGGGUAACUAGCAUAUCCAUCACCUCAACCAUUUAUCAUUUCUUUGUACAUGGAUAAAGAAAAUGUGGUGUAUCCAUUUGUCUGUUGACAAACACUUAGGUUUGGCCAUUGUGAAUAGUACUGCAAUAACCAUGGGAGUGCUUUCAUAUUGCUUUCCUUUCAAUAUGAUAUAUAUCUAUAUAUCUAUAUAUCUAUAUCUAUAUAUAUAUACACUCACAUACACACAUAUGGGGGAUAUAGAAAUGGAAGAAAGAAAGAAGAUCACAUUUUUACCUAACGCUUUCUUCUUUUCUAUUGUUACUUUCUUUAUAUUUUUAUCUUUGAAGCUCAGAUUUAUCAUAAAUGUUGUAUACAAUUUUAAAUAUUUUCCUUUUCCUAAUUGUUUGUGGUAGCAAAGUAACAUUCUGCUUUUAAGGUCUUCUUACCAGAUGUGAAAUAUUCCCAAGUAUUCCCAAAUGAAGCAAAACUUUUCUUGAAAACCUGUGCCCUAAAUAGAAUCAAGUAACUAAAAAUUAAACACAGCCCAUAAAAAUUUUUUGCUUCAUGUUAUAAAUGCCAGUACAAAAAAUAAAUAGAAGAUUAAGUUGCUAUAAUCCAAUUUUUAAUAGCCUUUUUUUUGUAUGAUGCAAUGGUUUGAAUGUUUUUCUCUCCAGAUCUCAUGUUGAAAACUAAUCCUCAAUGCAGCAGUAUUGAAAGGUGAGGCCUUUAAGAGGUGAUUGGGUUAUGAGGACUCUGCUUAAAUAAAUUGAAGCAUCAUUUAUGGAUUAAUGAAUUAGUGGAUUAUCACAGGAAUGGGACUGGUGGACCUUUAAGAGGAAUAUAUAUACACACACAUAUAUAUUUGUUCCAUUGAUCUAAGUUGGAAGGGAAGGUUUAGUAAGAAAUACGUAGUAUAAUAACUAACUGGUGGAGCCCUCUGAUGACUGAUGAUUCUGGCAGGUGAUUUUAUCUGCUCUAUAAUGUCAAAAUUUAAAAAUCAUAAUUAUGAAAAUUUUAACUAUAAAAUGUAAUACACUAUAAAAUACAGUUUUAGAUUUAUUCUGGUACCUCGUAAGUUUAUUGGGGUAGACUAUAUAAGACUAUAAAUCUUUAAUCUAUAAGCAUUAGAUUUUGGUCACAGUUUUGGCUAAAUAUUUAAUUUUUAAAAGAUUAAGCUAAAAGGUGUAUUAUUUGGUACUACACUCAUUGCUAUUGCUAUUAUUCUUUUGCUGCUAGAAGUUGAAAAGUUUGUUUCCUUAUUGAGAAUAUAAAUAAAACAAAUUACUUUGUGUUAACUUUCAAUAUAGACCAGGUCUUUAUGCUAUGUUUCUUGGGCAGAGAAGAGGAGGUCUUACCUGGAUUAUGUUGCACAAAACAAACAAAUGAAAAAUAAUGUAAUAGCCAAGCUCCCCCCUUGACCCUGCAAAUAGCUUAUAGAAGUAGCCUGAGAGUAUCAUAUUAUAAUUAUUCUGCUUAAUUUGCUCUUUAUUUAGAUUUAAAAUACAUCUUUCAUACAUUGUUUAAAAGGAAAAAGGAAUCAUGUCAAAAUGUUUCAGGAAAUGAUUUAAGUUAGAUAUAAAGAACAUAGUUCUGAUUUUGAAGUGUUAGUGGAACUCAAACAGAAAUGAUUAGUGCUCUCUUAAGAUCAUGACAUGAUUCUUAAAGUGGCUAUUUCAGAGCCUAGAAA
rnacentral:lncRNA from 1 species